UGGGGAAUAUUGGACAAUGGGGGAAACCCUGAUCCAGCCAUGCCGCGUGUGUGAAGAAGGCCUUUUGGUUGUAAAGCACUUUAAGCAGUGAAGAAGACUCCGUGGUUAAUACCCAUGGACGAUGACAUUAGCUGCAGAAUAAGCACCGGCUAACUCUGUGCCAGCAGCCGCGGUAAUACAGAGGGUGCAAGCGUUAAUCGGAAUUACUGGGCGUAAAGGGAGCGUAGGUGGCUCUAUAAGUCAGAUGUGA
rnacentral:rRNA from 1 species